UACGGGGGGGGGCAAGCGUUGUUCGGAAUUACUGGGCGUAAAGGGCUCGUAGGUGGCCAACUAAGUCAGACGUGAAAUCCCUCAGCUUAACUGGGGAACUGCGUCUGAUACUGGAUGGCUUGAGUUUGGGAGAGGGAUGCGGAAUUCCAGGUGUAGCGGUGAAAUGCGUAGAUAUUCGCAAGAACACCAGUGGCGAAGGCGGCUCACUGGCCCGGUACUGACGCUGAGGUGCGAAAGCGUGGGGAGCAACAGGG
rnacentral:rRNA from 1 species